rnacentral:rRNA from 1 species
AACGUAGGGGACAAGCGUUAUCCGGAUUUACUGGGCGUAAAGCGCGCGUAGGCGGCCCGAUAAGUCUGCUGUAAAAGUCAACGGCUCAACCGUUGAAAGCCGGUGGAUACUGUCGGGCUAGAGUCCGGAAGAGGCAAGUGGAAUUCCUGGUGUAGCGGUGGAAUGCGCAGAUAUCAGGAGGAACACCGAUGGCGAAGGCAGGUCUCUGGGCCACUACUGACGCUGAGAAGCGAAAGCAUGGGGAGCGAACAGG